AAUAGAUACCCCGGUAGUCCACGCCGUAAACGAUGAGUGCUAAGUGUUAGAGGGUUUCCGCCCUUUAGUGCUGCAGCUAACGCAUUAAGCACUCCGCCUGGGGAGUACGGUCGCAAGACUGAAACUCAAAGGAAUUGACGGGGGCCCGCGCAAGCGGUGGAGCAUGUGGUUUAAUUCGAAGCAACGCGAAGAACCUUACCAGGUCUUGACAUCCUCUGACAACUCUAGAGAUAGAGCGUUCCCCUUCGGGGGACAGAGUGACAGGUGGUGCAUGGUUGUCGUCAGCUCGUGUCGUGAGAUGCUGGGUUAAGUCCCGCAACGAGCGCAACCCUUGAUCUUAGUUGCCAGCAUUUAGUUGGGCACUCUAAGGUGACUGCCGGUGACAAACCGGAGGAAGGUGGGGAUGACGUCAAAUCAUCAUGCCCCUUAUGACCUGGGCUACACACGUGCUACAAUGGAUGGUACAAAGGGCUGCAAGACCGCGAGGUCAAGCCAAUCCCAUAAAACCAUUCUCAGUUCGGAUUGU
rnacentral:rRNA from 1 species